GACGAACGCUGGCGGCGUGCUUAACACAUGCAAGUCGAACGGAAAGGCCCUGCUUUUGUUGGGUUCUCGAGUGGCGAACGGGUGAGUAACACGUGAGUAACCUGCCCUUGACUUUGGGAUAACUUCAGGAAACUGGGGCUAAUACCGGAUAGGAGCUCCUGCUGCAUGGUGGUGGUUGGAAAGUUUCGGCGGUUGGGGAUGGACUCGCGGCUUAUCAGCUUGUUGGUGGGGUAGUGGCUUACCAAGGGUUUGACGGGUAGCCGGCCUGAGAGGGUGACCGGCGACAUUGGGACUGAGAUACGGCCCAGACUCCUACGGGCGGCAGCAGUGGGGAAUAUUGCACAAUGGGCGGAAGCCUGAUGCAGCAACGCCGCGUGCGGGAUGCCGGGCUUCGGGUUGUAAACAGCUUUCGACUGUGCCGAAGCGUGAGUGACGGUAAUGGGUAAAGAAGCACCGGCUAACUACGUG
rnacentral:rRNA from 1 species